GGCUGUGGCUCAGUGGUAGAGUGCUCACCUAGCAUGUGCGAGGCCCUUGGUUCGAUCCUCAGCACCA
rnacentral:tRNA from 1 species